rnacentral:lncRNA from 1 species
UAUCAAAAUUAUGCCCUAAAACUUCUUUCUUAAAAAAAAAUAAUGCAAUGGAAAAAGCUAAAAAUAAUAUUAAUAUUAAUUUAUUACAUAACAAUCCCAGCAUAGAUGAUAAUGAACGAUAUGAGCGUAAGAUUAAUCAUUCUGAUGAUAUGUCUUUUUUAAAAUAUAAUCAAGAUAUUAAAAAAAAUAACAAAUUGGGUAUAUCAGAAAAUAAAAACAUAUUUAAUUAUGUAAAACGCAGUGAAAACAACAGUAAUGAAUCCAAUAUCAACAACAGGUUAAAAAAAGGAAAUGAAAUGCCAUAUUUAAAUGACAUGCAAAAAAUGGAUAUUUUAUGCGACAAAAAAAACUCGAACUCUAGUAAUAGAAAAAUUAUUAACAAAUGUAAAACAAUAAAUGAUAAUUUGUUAAAAACAAAUAAAAUUAAUAUAAUAAAUCAAGAAAGACAUUACAAAUUGAAUGAAACUAGAACAAAUGCCAACUCGUCAUUAGGUAAUAACUACAGCAUUAAUAUAAAUGAUAACAAUAAUCAUAACGAAGACAGUAACAACAACGGCAACAGUAAAUAUAACGAAAACAACAACAACAACAACAAUAACAACAAUAACAACAACAAUAACAACAAUAACAACAACAGCAAUAACAAUAACAGCGAGGCGUUGGAUAAAAUAAAAUUUGAAUUUCCUUUUAAAAAUGUUUAUAAAGAUAAAAAUUCAAAUUAUUUUCAAUGUGUUACAAAUAAUAAUAAAGACCAAAAAAUUGAUCGUUUAAACAAAAAUGAAGGCAGGACUAAUAUAAAAAAUAAACAGAUAGUUUCUCACAUUUUUAAAAACAAUUACCAACAACUAAAGAAAAAUAUCGAUCCACUAUUAUACAACACGGAAAAUGACUUUUAUACUGGUAUAAAUAAAAGUAGUUAUAAUAACGGGCAGAACGGACAAAAGGAGGAAAACAAAAUAAUCACCCAAUCAAAUGUUUUAGAUAGUCAUUUAUUUAAAGUAAAGAAAAAAAAUGCAGUAGAUGAUAUUUAUAAAGUUGACAUUUAUAAAGAUGACAUUUAUAAAGAUGACAUUUAUAAAAAUUAUAAUUCUAAAAUAAUAGAACCAGAAAAAGUAGUAAGUAACUUGGUAAGUUCGUUUGGUAAGAAAAAAAAGAUAGUUAAAGAUCCUAAUGAAAACAAAUUAAUUUACUAUGAAUCAGAUAUAAACAAAAAUAAAUUAAUGGAAAAGAAAAGAGAAGUAAAUAAAAACAUUCCAACUUUAGAAAAUAAAACAAGUAAUAGUAUUGCUUCAAAUUUAAAAAUAGGUAAAUAUAAAAUUAUAGAUAAUGAUAGUAAUGAUAGCGAAAUAGGUGUGGAGGUAAAAAAAAUCAAAGUCUAUUCUGAAUUGAAUGAAAAAGCUAACAACAAAAGCGAAAUAGGUUAUAGUGAGGUGAAC